rnacentral:tRNA from 1 species
GUGGAUAUAAUUCAAAGGGUUAGAAUAUAAAUUUGUGGUAUUUACUGUUUCUGGUUCGAGUCCAGAUAUUCACC